GACAGAGGAUGCAAGCGUUAUCCGGAAUGAUUGGGCGUAAAGCGUCUGUAGGUGGUUUAUUAGGUCUACUGUUAAAGAUCAGGGCUUAACCCUGAGCAGGCAAUAGAAACUAAUAAGCUAGAGUACGGUAGGGGCAGAGGGAAUUCCCGGUGUAGCGGUGAAAUGCGUAGAGAUCGGGAAGAACACCAACGGCGAAAGCACUCUGCUGGGCCGAAACUGACACUGAGAGACGAAAGCUAGGGGAGCAAAUGGG
rnacentral:rRNA from 1 species